ensembl:lncRNA
UGUUCUUUUGCUAGAGACAGCAAGUAAACAAGCUAGGCCUGAUGGUUUCCUUUUUGGAUGCCACUGGAAUAUGGUGUGCAUGAAAAUGAGAUGCAGAAUAAAGUCUCUUUGUACCUGGAAGAAGAAUCAUGAUUUCUCCUAAAUGAUGAUUACUCCUCAAUUUAUAUAUCUUAUUAGGGUGUACUAUCUGUGCUUUCAAAAAAAAAUCAACAUUCACAUUAUUCUCAAACUUGACUGCAAAAGCAGUUAGGUUUUGCAAAACUAGUCAAAUGCUAAUGAGGUUCAGAAGGUAUCUCACUUUGAAGAAUAAAAGACAGAAGUUGGAUGGGGCCCUGGGAAACCUGAUCUAGAGCCUGAUUUACUUGGUGGCAAUCCUGCCCAAAUCAGAGUUUGGCCUUAGCUGAUCUUGGAGUUCUUUCCAGCCCAAGUCAUUCUGUGAUUCUGUGGUGGUCAAGGAAUUGCUUUCAUGAAGAAUAGAAUCAAACAGCAACAAAUAACAACAACAACAACAACAAAAAAGCAACAGUCCCUGAUGUGUACCUGCAGCACUGCCAUGGAUGAAGAAAGAAGUAGAGAGGAGUUACAGUCAAAAAAGGGCUAUGGAGUGGGGGAGACAAGGUGACAUAGGGACUGCAUUUCUGUAAUACCAGCAAGUAGAUUACAGCACUGAACCUGAAGCUGGUUAACUUUUUGUACUUAAAAUAAAU